GUGCUAGGUUGCUCAAAUUUUCAUCUCUAUGGCUACUUCCUCUCUAGCUCUCUUCCAUUUUUUUGCUUCUCAAAUACCAUGCAUUUCUUUCAAUUUCCUUUAUUUCCUCGCAUUUUAGCACCCAAUGCUGAAUGAUUCUGUUGUAUUUGCCAUUUUGGAGGUUUGUUUUAGUGGUUCAACUCUUGCAUAGUGUUUGCCAUCUAAAAUACUAUUUUUUGGAGCAAUUGUGUUCUUAGAUCUUGACAAUGAUAUCCAUCUAGCAGGGUCUACAAAGAGAUUGUAGAUUUAAGAUAAAUUAGCUAAGGUAAUAUUUUUUUUAUUUUUCUUUGUUUAAUGCGCUGAGUUUAUGGCUAAUCUGUUACUUUUCUAUUUUUCCGGUAGUUGUUCUUGGAUUUUCUAUAUGCAUGUUAUAAUUGUAUUGAUUACACAUGGACGUUUGGGAUUUAUGUUUAUAUAAUCUCUAACUUUUUGUGGAUUACCUUACCGUUCUCUGUUUAAAUCCGCUUGUAAUAUUAGUGAUGCCCAUAAAGUGUUUGAUAAUAUCUCCACUAGAAAAAAGCUUAUCUAUUUCUAAAUUUGCUUUAUAAUUUUUUUAUUGGGACUGUUUGACACGGUGAAAAUAUUCCAAUAUUAUCUUUAUGUUUAUAGGUAAUGAAGAAAAUAUUUAUAUUUCUUUUUGUUAUCUUUGUUCAAUAUUUUGAUGAGUUUGUUAACAGUUAGUAGUUCAUAUGGAUUAGUGCUUUCAUGUGCUGGAAUCAAGCUUUUGGGUUUAUAGUUUAAAGAUCGCGAUUUUGAAAUUUAGGUUCAAGCGUAUGGUUUGCCUUUAUGUGUUAGAGCUGAUGAUUUUUUUACCGCUAAAGAUAAUUUGCUAUCUUUUUCUUUAUAUGCAAUAUAUAUUUCUCUGAUAUAUUCACUAUAUGAAGUGCAACACUCAAUUGUCAGCGGCAUAAUUAGUAAAUAUAUUACGUAUUUAUUAUACUUAAAUUAGUAAAUAUAUUAUGUGUUAUAUAUUAUACUGAAGGAUGUUUCGUGCCAUGGCUUAAAACACUACUCUUUCUUGUGUUGUUUAGUUCUAUUAUUAUGUAUUGAUCUAUUAGUGCAUACCCAGACCCCACUUGUGGGAUUAUACUGGGUCGUUGUUGUUGAUCUAUUAGUGCAUACCCAGACCCCACUUGUGGGAUUAUACUGGGUCAUUGUUGUUGAUCUAUUAGUGCAUAUCGCAAGAUUAAAAUCAUUGUUCAUCAAAUUGGAACUAAAGAGAAGAAAAAGACCAAACUUUUUGUUUAAUUGCAAGAAAAAGCCAUUUAGAUGUCGUUAUGUUUUUAAAUGGGAAGCUGGUUAAAGAAACCAACAGAUGGAAUACUUUCCACAACUUACAAUGAAAGUUCUCAUGAAAAAAUUGGGAAUUGAAUGGAUCAAAAUGGAUAUCAUGAUACAAUAGCAGCUUUCUCAAUACUUUUUGUCUUUCUAUUCAUGUAAAAAGUUCGUAAUAUCGCAAAAGAGUUUCUUUCUCAGACUAUUUAUAGUUCAGCUUUAUAUCCUAAAGGUCUAUCAUCUGACUGCUUUGCUUCUAAAGUUGUAUUCAUCUUUAUAUCUUACGAUUUUGUUUUUCCUUUAUCUUCGUCUUUGCCGAACUUUUGUUGUCAUUUCCAGUUUUUUCUUUUAUACGGGUUUAGUAGGAUUGUUAUCAUUUAAAUUUCUCCACACAUAAUGAGAAACAUAUGUUUUGAUCACAGGCUUUUUCUUGCAUUUUCAGGUUACUGCUAGGCACUAUAUGCCUGAGACACACCGCCUGCUAUUUGAUGUUAACUAUUCUACUCAUUCUGGGGGAUAUUAUUCGGUCAACCCAAAGCAAGGUAGCAAUAUUCUAAUUCUCCAAAAUUAUAUGGUGAUUCAUCAACUAUAUUAUUUUGUUAUGAUGUCACUGAUGUCGAGUUUAUGGAUAUUGAUUUGGAUAAUCUUGGAUUCUAUUUGAUGCCAACUGAUUAUACAUAUGUAACAAAAGCUCUGAAUAUGGACAGUUUAAAUACAAGGCUAGCCAUAGGGAUGUACAGUUGAGCCCCUAUGCUGGUGCCUUGAACUAUGUACAGUAAUUUUUUUUCAAAUUCGACCAAAAUUUAUAACACACUCAUGCGAAGAAUAUUUCACAAAAUUUGAUUGAAGCGGGCUUUGGUUUAAGGUACAUAAGCACAUAGAAGAGAGAAUAAACUAUUUCGCCCUCAUCACAAUGCACAUUGGUUCUGAGAAAAUAUGCACGUCAUGGCCUUCGAUUGAUAAAUUUGUCAUCAUUGUUGGAGUUGUUAACCAAAUGCUCUAGGUGAUAAGAGAUCAAAAUGGAUAUCAUGAUACAAUUGCAGCUUUCUCAAUACUUUUUGUCUUUCUAUUCAUGUAAAAAGUUCAUAAUAUCGCAAAAGAGUUUCUUUCUCAGACUAUUUAAAGUUCAGCUUUAUAUCCUAAAGGUCUAUCAUCUGACUGUUUUGCUUCUGAAGCUGUAUUCAUCUUUAUAUCUUACGAUUUUGUUUUUCCUUUAUCUUCGUCUUUGCCGAACUUUUGUUGUCAUUUCCAGUUUUUUCUUUUAUAUGGGUUUAGUAGGAUUGUUAUCAUUUAAAUUUCUCCACACAGAAUGAGAAACAUAUGUUUUGAUCACAGGCUUUUUCUUGCAUUUGCAGGUUACUGCUAGGCACUAUAUGCCUGAGACACACCGUCUGCUAUUUGAUGUUAACUAUUCUACUCAUUCUGGGGGAUAUUACUCGGUCAACCCAAAGCAAGGUAGCAAUAUUCUAAUUCUCCAAAAUUAUAUGGUGAUUCAUCAACUAUAUUAUUUUGUUAUGAUGUCACUGAUGUCGAGUUUAUGGAUAUUGAUUUGGAUAAUCUUGGAUUCUAUUUGAUGCCAACUGAUUAUACAUAUGUAACAAAAGCUCUGAAUAUGGACAGUUUGAAUACAAGGCUAGCCAUAGGGAUGUACAGUUGAGUCCCUAUACUGGUGCCUUGAACUAUGUACAGUAAUUUUUUUUCUCAAAUUUGACCAAAAUUUAUAACACACAUGCGAAUAAUAUUUCACAAAAUUUGAUUGAAGCAGGGUUUGGUUUAAGGUACAUAAGCACAUAGAAGAGAGAAUAAACUAUUUCGCCCUCAUCAGAAUGCACAUUGGUUCUGAGAAAAUAUGCAUGCCAUGGCCUUCGAUUGAUAAAUUUGUCAUCAUUGUUGGAGUUGUUAACCAAAUGCUCUAGGUGAUAAACCUUGCAUAAUUAUUUUUCUGUAAACUUAUGACACAUCUUACCUAGAUCUUGCAAUUAUUAUCUCAUAUGGUGUUCAUUCUUCGGUUUGAAUAAGCUCUAAGAUAUUAGGCAUGGGGCAAGUAAGUCAUAUCUGUAUGUGAUGUAAACUAGAUAAAUGAAUUAUUAAUAGUGAAUGACUUGAUUUACGAAUGACUUGAAUGGCAAAAUGUUGAACUAGAAUAGUAUAUGCAUGGCACUCUUUUCUUAACUUUAUUUUUGAGAUAUUUGAUGUCCCCAUGUGUUAUAUGCCUGAAACGACUAAAUAAUAUUUUACUAUUUUUCUUUUGACGGAUGUUCUACAACGUACUUAUAUAUAUCAGUCAUGAAUUGGAUACAUUAUUUACUUCUAUUAGAUAGUAGCGGUUAACAAUAUUUAUGGGGUUGGCUCUAUUAUACUUUCGUUGUUUUUCUUUAUUAUCUUUGUUUAGUGCGGUGAAAUAUGGUCAUUGGUAAUAGUCGAUGUGACUUAGACUCUAAAACACAGUUGGCGCUUUAUACUGGUUCUAAAGAAACAUAUAUCUGAGGUUAGCUCUUUCUACUCUUUUUUCUUUUUCAAAGUAUAGAGGCCAAGUUCGCAUAUCCUACGCUUUGUAAGAAAGAAGGUUGUCCUUUCUUAGAUAUCAACCGAUAUAGCAACUAUGACGCUAAAGUUUUCUAUAUAAGCUAGAUAAAAUUGUCAUAUUUUUGGAUUAAUAAUGUAGGUUAACAAAGAGGAAUGCGAAGGAGAAAGGAUUUUCAGAUUUGCUGUAUCUUGAUUCAGUCAUUAAGUGAUAUAUGGAAAAGGUCUCUCUUUAGUAUAUUCCUUACCAAGGGAAGUGUACUUUCAACUCUUACAGCCAGAAGAGGAACUAUCGCUAGCACUCCAUGCGUAACAGUCUUUGAAGCCUUAUCGGUAAUUAUCUUUUUUUUAGAGAUUUCCUUUUAAAGUGGAAGAAGAUUCAUGCUUCAAAUGCGCGCUUUUUCAUUGAACAUAUAAGAUAUUCGUGAGGUUUAAGCACACAGAGAUAGUGAUUGUAAUUUUUGUUGACAAUUUCAGUUUCUAUCAGUUUGUUGUAGCAGCUAUUGUGAAUUUAUAAUGCUGCAAUAAAUAGAAGAAAUAUAUGAGAACAUAUUAUUUAACGUUUCUACAGGUACUUUAUUCUGUUAGACAUGCAUAUCUUAGGUACUUUUGAGGAUUAAUUUAAUUUUGCGACACUCAGAAUGCUUGUAUAUAAAAACAAAUUAUGUUACUUUAGCUACGUGAAAUUUUAUUUUAGUGUGUGUGUAUAUACACAUAAUUUUUGUGAUCAUUAUAAUUGUUU
rnacentral:lncRNA from 1 species